GAACGCCGAAGGGGCUUCGGUCCUGAGUAGAGUGGCGUCCGGGUGAGUAACGCGUGGGUAAUCUACCUUUGGAUGGGGAAUAACAAUCGGAAACGAUUGCUAAUACCGCAUAAUGCAGCGGCACCUAAUGGUGACAGUUGUUAAAGCGGGGGAUCGAAAGACCUCGCGUCUGAAGAGGAGCCUGCGGCGGAUUAGCUAGUUGGUAAGGUAAUGGCUUACCAAGGCUACGAUCCGUAACCGGCCUGAGAGGGCGGUCGGUCACACUGACACUGACAUACGGGUCAGACUCCUACGGGAGGCAGCAGUCGGGAAUUUUGGGCAAUGGGCGAAAGCCUGACCCAGCAACGCCGCGUGAAGGAUGAAAUCCCUCGGGAUGUAAACUUCGCAAGAACGGGAAGAAUAAGUAGGGGACAAUACCCCCUAUGAUGACGGUACCGUUUGUAAGCUCCGGCUAACUCCGUGCCAGCAGCCGCGGUAAUACGGGGGGAGCAAGCGUUGUUCGGAUUUACUGGGCGUAAAGGGCGCGUAGGCGGCCAGCACAAGUCAGUUGUGAAAUCUCCGAGCUUAACUCGGAAAGGUCAACUGAUACUGUGCGGCUAGAGUGCAGAAGGGGCAACUGGAAUUCUUGGUGUAGCGGUGAAAUGCGUAGAUAUCAAGAGGAACACCUGCGGCGAAGGCGGGUUGCUGGGCUGACACUGACGCUGAGGCGCGAAAGCUAGGGGAGCGAACGGGAUUAGAUACCCCGGGUAGUCCUAGCCUUAAACGAUGAAU
rnacentral:rRNA from 1 species